GGGGUUGUGGCUCAGUGGUAAAGCAUCUGCUUCAUCUGCAGAAGGUCCCUGGUUCAAUCCCUGGCAUCUCCA